AACCAUAGAAACCUGCGGAGUACCUGCGGAAGGAUCAUUAUCGAGUUGCAAAACUCCAACCCUUUGUGAACAUACCUCAGUCGUUGCUUCGGCGGUGGACGGCCUUUUUUCGAAAAGGCCCGAAGCCGCCGGAGGUUCCAAACUCGUGUUUUGUUUAGUGUAUCUCUGAGCCUGAAAACAAAUAAUCAAAACUUUUAGCAAUGGAUCU
rnacentral:misc_RNA from 1 species